rnacentral:rRNA from 1 species
GACGAACGCUGGCGGCGUGCCUAAUACAUGCAAGUAGAACGCACAGUUUAUACCGUAGCUUGCUACACCAUAAACUGUGAGUUGCGAACGGGUGAGUAACGCGUAGGUAACCUGCCUGGUAGCGGGGGAUAACUAUUGGAAACGAUAGCUAAUACCGCAUAAUAUUGAUUAUUGCAUGAUAAUUGAUUGAAAGAUGCUAUUGCAUCACUACCAGAUGGACCUGCGUUGUAUUAGCUAGUAGGUGAGGUAACGGCUCACCUAGGCGACGAUACAUAGCCGACCUGAGAGGGUGAUCGGCCACACUGGGACUGAGACACGGCCCAGACUCCUACGGGAGGCAGCAGUAGGGAGUCUUCGGGAAUGGACGAAAGUCUGACCGAGCAACGCCGCGUGAGUGAAGAAGGUUUUCGGAUCGUAAAGCUCUGUUGUAAGAGAAGAACGGGUGUGAGAGUGGAAAGUUCACACUGUGACGGUAUCUUACCAGAAAGGGACGGCUAACUACGUG